rnacentral:rRNA from 1 species
CAGCCGCCACGGGAAUACGGAGGGUGCAAGCGUUAUCCGGAUUCACUGGGUUUAAAGGGUGCGUAGGCGGGCAGGUAAGUCAGUGGUGAAAUCUUCGAGCUUAACUCGGAAACUGCCGUUGAUACUAUCUGUCUUGAAUAACGUUGAGGUGAGCGGAAUAUGUCAUGUAGCGGUGAAAUGCUUAGAUAUGACAUAGAACACCGAUUGCGAAGGCAGCUCACUAAACGCUCAUUGACGCUGAGGCACGAAAGCGUGGGGAUCAAACAGGAUUAGAUACCCGGGUAGUCCCUGUCUCUUAUAC